AUUGGACGCUGGCGGCAGGCCUAACACAUGCAAGUCGAGCGGAUGAAGGGAGCUUGCUCCUGGAUUCAGCGGCGGACGGGUGAGUAAUGCCUAGGAAUCUGCCUGGUAGUGGGGGAUAACGUCCGGACACGGGCGCUAAUACCGCAUACGUCCUGAGGGAGAAAGUGGGGGAUCUUCGGACCUCACGCUAUCAGAUGAGCCUAGGUCGGAUUAGCUAGUUGGUGGGGUAAAGGCCUACCAAGGCGACGAUCCGUAACUGGUCUGAGAGGAUGAUCAGUCACACUGGAACUGAGACACGGUCCAGACUCCUACGGGAGGCAGCAGUGGGGAAUAUUGGACAAUGGGCGAAAGCCUGAUCCAGCCAUGCCGCGUGUGUGAAGAAGGUCUUCGGAUUGUAAAGCACUUUAAGUUGGGAGGAAGGGCAGUAAGUUAAUACCUUGCUGUUUUGACGUUACCAACAGAAUAAGCACCGGCUAACUUCGUG
rnacentral:rRNA from 1 species